CUGCGUUAGCGAUUGAAGUGACAUCCUUUUUUAAUUACAAAAUAGAUAAGCAAUCGCUUUUAGAUAUGAGAUUGCCACAGUUUACAAAAAAGGAAACUUCGCAAUGACAAUAAUUAAAAAAGAUAAAACGGAAAGCGCGACCUGAA
rnacentral:sRNA from 1 species